ensembl:lncRNA
UUGCCACCUGCACCCUAUCACAGCCACACACGCACACUCAGAGGCAUGUAGAAACACACACACACACAACUCCAUGUGUGCAGUAAUAUUGCCUUGUAGCAACAUUUUAGCGCACAAAAAAGUAUAUAAGUAUAUAACACAACUAUAGACAGACCUUGGAUUCAGUCAGAUGUCAAAACACUGAAGAAGGAUGGGAUGAAAAGAAGAAAAGUAGCAGAAGGAGAAUGACAGAGAUCUGAAAGGGAACAGAGCAGUAGAGAAAGAGAAGAACAUAAUAAGGAAGACACAGUGAGAUGUAGCGAUGUGCAGUGAGUAGGACAAAGGGAGGAGGAAAAAAACAACAAGGGAGGAGAAGGAGGGUGAGAUGUUUGGGAGGAGGGUGACAGUCAUGGGAACCCGUGUUUGGUCCCUGCUCCAGACCUUGUCAGUGUUGUUGUUUUGUUUUCACAUGGCCUUCAACCUCCCUGUGUGGACCACAAACAGAUGUUGAUGAUGUUUCUCGCUGCAGUUUGUCCUCAGAGUCAUCAGCGCUGCUAAUGGGCUGUGGUGAGACAUUCUCUGAGGAUGGACGCCAUGGCUGAAGAAACAGGUGUCGUGGGAGCAGAUUCACAGCACGAGGUCCCCCCAGCAGCCGAGGCCGUCGGUGGUUCUCACAGCCUGCGGAGUGACUCUUUUGACAGGGAUCGUGAGAACCUGAGUGGCAGGGGUCCAUGUGGUGAAACCCUGACAAGAUGUAAAGAGAAGAAAAACAGCAUUCAGUGUUCAAAGAUGUCAACAGCUUAAGAGGUUAUAAUCAUUACACCCCAAAUGGCCCUGUGUGUCAGCUCACUGGCUUUAAAAACUCCUCCGGAGAUGCAAAUUUUAGGGCAACCUCUCAUUUUUUCAGUGGAUCCCAAAAGAUUUCUUCAGAUAUGACGCUGGUCCUCUUUGUGGCUGUGGACCACUUUCAUGGGGUUCAAGAUGUCAGCUUCUUCGAGAGUUCAUAUGCUCUUAGACUACCAGACUCAAACUACACCUAUAAAGAUCAAAAAAUACACAUCAUUCCAGCAACUCAAAAUUCAAAAUUCCAAAUUCCAUUGACUCGAUCUGACCAGUCUCUGUGCUGCAGGUCCCUUCUCUGCCUUUGACCCAAAACCAGAAGCAGCGGGACAUCAGGAUCUCUCUCUGUUCCCACACCUGUCUCUUUCCUUUGCUGUGUUUGCUCUUUCUCUCCGGUCAUCAAAAGACACCAUCUCUCUCUGUCUUUUUGCCUCCAUCCCUCAUCUCCAGCUGCAGCUUCCCUCAUGUCAGUGUGUCUGUGGGAUUAUUUAUGGACUGGUGAAUGGAGAGAGAUAGUAUGAGACCCAGAGGUUGGCCUCUACCCUCACAAUGUCUGUUACCACUAAAUCACCACAGGGUCUGGCUUACUUUCACAUUAAUGGUUUGUUCAUGGUGUGUGUGUGUGAGGGGGGGGAGAGACAAAGUCCAAGAUAAAGAACGACACAUCAUCUUAGUCUGACUUACUCUGAUGUGCUUUACCAGUAUUAAAGUAUCCACCACAGCAUUUUUGCCUCUGUUUCCUUCUCAUGUAUGUUCUGUCGCUCUAACAGCCAGCUUCUACUGAGAGAUCUGUUUAACCACUUUUGUCUUACUGCUCGAUCUGUGGGCUCAGUUCUGUAAAAUACCAUCCCACAAAAUUGUUGCUACAUAUUUUUUGUUUUAAAUGAUGUCCACUGUUCCUAC